CCUACGGGAGGCUGCAGUGGGGAAUAUUGGACAAUGGGCGAAAGCCUGAUCCAGCCAUGCCGCGUGUGUGAAGAAGGCCUUCGGGUUGUAAAGCACUUUCAGUGGGGAAGAAAGCCUUGGGGCUGAUACCCUCGAGGAAGGACAUCACCCACAGAAGAAGCACCGGCUAACUCCGUGCCAGCAGCCGCGGUAAUACAGGAGGGUGCGAGCGUUAAUCGGAAUUACUGGGCGUAAAGCGCGCGUAGGCGGUCUGAUAAGCCGGUUGUGAAAGCCCCGGGCUCAACCUGGGAACGGCAUCCGGAACUGUCAGGCUAGAGUGCAGGAGAGGAAGGUAGAAUUCCCGGUGUAGCGGUGAAAUGCGUAGAGAUCGGGAGGAAUACCAGUGGCGAAGGCGGCCUUCUGGACUGACACUGACGCUGAGGUGCGAAAGCGUGGGUAGCAAACAGGAUUAGAUACCCCAGUAGUC
rnacentral:rRNA from 1 species